rnacentral:rRNA from 1 species
AGCCCAAUAGCUAGCCUAAACAAACAAGACCAACAACCAAACAUUAAUAACCCCUAACACCCUCCAAAAAACUAAACAAACCAUUUUCCCCCUUUAGUAUAGGAGAUAGAAAAAGAAAUUUGAGCUAUAGAAAAAGUACCGCAAGGGAACGCUGAAAGAGAAAUGAAACAACCCAGUAAAGCAAUACAAAGCAGAGACUACCCCUCGUACCUUUUGCAUCAUGAUUUAGCUAGUACUUCCUAAGCAAAAAGAAUUUUAGUUUAGCCCCCCGAAACUAAGUGAGCUACUCCAAGACAGCCUAUCAAUAGGGCGCACCCGUCUCUGUGGCAAAAGAGUGGGAAGAGCUUCGAGUAGAGGUGACAGACCUACCGAACUUAGUUAUAGCUGGUUGCCUGAGAAUUGGAUAGAAGUUCAGCCCUCUGCCCUUCUUCAGUCAAGCUGAGUAUUACCUGCCCCGACUAGAAGAAUGCAAAGGAGUUAGUUAAAGGAGGUACAGCUCCUUUAUCACAAGACACAACUUUACCAGGUGGAUUAAGAUCAUAAUAGACCAAGGGAUCUGUGUUUGGGUGGGCCUAAAAGCAGCCAUCCCAAUAGAAAGCGUUAAAGCUCAAACACAAGCCCCCCCCCCCCAUAAUCCUGAUAACAAUUCUGAAUCCCCUAUUAAUACCAGGCCUUCCUAUGCAAACAUAGGACUGAUUAUGCUAAUAUGAGUAAUAAGAAAGAAAAGACUUUCUCCAAGCACAAGUGUACAUCGGAACGAACCCCCACCGAACAUUAAAGGACCCAACUACAGAGGGCAUUGAAAACGUCUUAGAAGACAAGAAGAACACUCAACCACUCACCUUUAACCCCACACUGGUGUGCGCACUAAGGAAAAACUAAAAGAGAAAGAAGGAACUCGGCAAACACAAGCCUCGCCUGUUUACCAAAAACAUCGCCUCUUGAAUCCCCCAUAUAAGAGGUCCCGCCUGCCCUGUGACUAUAAGUUUAACGGCCGCGGUAUCUUAACCGUGCGAAGGUAGCGCAAUCACUUGUCUCUUAAAUAGAGACCUGUAUGAAUGGCAUAACGAGGGCUUAGCUGUCUCCUUUCUCAAGUUAAUGAAAUUGACCUCCCCGUGCAGAGGCGGGGAUACAAACAUAAGACGAGAAGACCCUAUGGAGCUUUAGGCACUAGAGCUGACCACGUAAAAAGCCCCGCACAAGGGGAUAUAACUUUGUGGCCCCACUUCAACUGCCUUUGGUUGGGGCGACCGCGGGGAAAAACAAAACCCCCAUGUGGAACGGGGUCACUACAACCCUAGAAACAAGAGCACCCGCUCUAGUCAACAGAAAUUCUGACCUUACUGAUCCGGCGUCCAGCCGAUCAACGAACCGAGUUACCCUAGGGAUAACAGCGCAAUCCCCUUAUAGAGCCCAUAUCGACAAGGGGGUUUACGACCUCGAUGUUGGAUCAGGAUAUCCUAAUGGUGCAGCCGCUAUUAAGGGUUCGUUUGUUCAACGAUUAAAAUCCUACGUGAUCUGAGUUCAGACCGGAGUAAUCCAGGUCGGUUUCUAUCUAUGAUGUAAUUUAUUUCAGUACGAAAGGACCAAAAAAAUGAGGCCCCUGUCCCCAACAAGCCUCCCCCUCACUUGCUGACUCCUACUCAAGCAAACAAGAGGGUGCAAGCCUAAGCCAUAGAGCAUGGCAU